CGAGGAAUAUUGCGCAAUGGGGGAAACCCUGACGCAGCAACGCCGCGUGAGUGAGGACGGUUUUCGGACCGUAAAGCUCUGUCGAGCGGGCAGAAAUGCAUGGUGGCUAAUAUCCAUCAUGCUUGACGGUACCGCUAAAGGAAGCACCGGCUAACUCCGUGCCAGCAGCCGCGGUAAUACGGGGGGUGCGAGCGUUGUUCGGAAUUAUUGGGCGUAAAGAGCGUGUAGGCGGCUGAAUAAGUCAGAUGUGAAAUCCCUGGGCUUAACCCAGGACGUGCAUUUGAAACUGCAUGGCUAGAGUAAGGGAGAGGAAAGUGGAAUUCCUGGUGUAGAGGUGAAAUUCGUAGAUAUCAGGAGGAACACCGGUGGCGGAGGCGACUUUCUGGCCCUAUACUGACGCUCAGGCGCGAGAGCGUGGGUAGCAAACA
rnacentral:rRNA from 1 species